GGAGUGGUGACCGAGAGGCCGAAGGUGUGCGCUUGGAAAGCGUAUGUACUCUAACCGGGUACCGUGGGUUCGAAUCCCACCCGCUCCG
rnacentral:tRNA from 1 species